AUUAAAUUCUCAAACUCACAUUUAUUUGUGAUGUUUGGAUUGUUGGGGGUUGCUGGCUGUAACAAGUCGGCUCCUCUUAAAUGCAUUAGCAGGACUUCUCAUUGCCUCUGCGCAUGAUGUGAUAAUUAUCACUCAUCAAUAGCACGCAUGAAUAGAGUCCAGCUCUCUAAUCGUCCGCAAGGACAAUUUGACAAUUUGACCUCAA
rnacentral:misc_RNA from 1 species